AGUCAAACGCAGGCACCUCCCACCCCAGGGAACUUUGGCCCCAGCCCUGAGACCAGUUCAGGCAGAAGACGGCAAGGGAAAGUACACAGCCCAGUGGGAAGGCAGCUGGGUCGUGAGGCUCGGGGAGACCACAGCCUCGCCUGCCCCUGCCCCGUGAGCUGGGUGAGCUGACGCCAAGCAAUGAGAAGGGAUGUGAAUGGCGGCCGCGACUGGUCCACAGGCUUUGCGGAACGCCGCCGGUUAGCAUCUUGGCAAGAACGGACUAUCUCAGUCUUGCCCGGAGUAGCCCUGUCGCUCUGACAAGGCGCCGCUGCCUCGAUUUCCAAGCCAGGUGGGGAGCCCAGAUAAGGGGUUCGGGGGGGGGGGCAGCUGCCCACAUCUCUCUUAACCUUUAGUUCCAACAAGACCUGACCUGAGGAUGAAUUCCGCGCCUUCAUCCUACCCCCCUCCCCUACAGAUCCCGGGAGCCCCUAUCCCGCUACCCUCACCCGCUCGCCAGUCCCGUCUCAAUCCCCACCCAGCCCCGCGCCUCUCCUGUGACUGUCCCCCCCUCCUUCCCAGACCCCGGUCCCGGUCUCCAGCCCGCCAAUGAAGCCCCCCAUCGCCCCUAAAGCUCCGCAUUCCUUUCCAAUGGGGCCCCCUCCUCCUCCUCCUCCUCCUCGGCGCCUCGCAGCGGCCCCCGGGAGCCGGAGGGACGGCGCCCAGCGGGCGGGCUGCGGGCGAGAGGUCCUCCGGGAAGCGCGCCUCCCGCGGGCUCCGCCAGCCCCGAGCGCGGCGCCCCCCGCACCCACCUGCCCCAGCGCGGCUGCCGCCAUCGUCGUUGCGGCGGGUAACUGCGCCCGCCCCGCAGAGGACGUCGCGGCCCCGCCCGGUCCACGCCCCCUCCCACCCGGCGCCCAUCCUCGCCCGGCGCCCGCGGGGAGCCCGGCCCGCCGCAGCGCGCAUGCGCCCCGGGCGCGGGGAGUCGGUCCAAACCCCCCGCCCCGCCCCCACCGGGGUCGGUUGCAGCCGCAUCCAGGCUGCUCGCGGGCAAAGAUGCAUUUCGGUCGCUCCUGCCGCGGAGCGCGAGCGCGGAGGAGCGGCCCGAGGGAGAGCGGAAGAGAGAGGGAAAGACAGAAACAUCCUCACACAUCGAUGGGUUGCCUCCUGAAUGAGCCCUGUCAGGGCCCGGGCUGGGGAGGAGCCUGCAGCCAAGGUGCGUGCCCUUGACCGGACUCGGACCCGGGACUCUGUGGUCCGCAGGCCGAUGCUCUACCCACUGAGCCAACCGGCUAGGGCCAGGCACAGAUUCAGGUGCCGGGAUGGAGGCGUGAACAAGAGACGGGAGUCUUGCCCUCCAGGAAACCAGAUGUAAUGCGUGGACCGCGUCCGGAGCUUGGCGUGAACAAACCAACUCUAAUAAGACAUUUGGGGACAAUGGGGAAAUGCACUCCCAAGUACUAAGGGAUGAAUGGACAUCAGACCUGCAACUUACUCUCAAGUAGAGAGACGGAAAAGUCACGCCAAUGUGGUAAAAUAUACACAAUGGAGAGUCUGGGUAUAUGGGAGUUCUCUGUACUAUUCUGGCAAUAUAUUAUAACCUUUAAAUUAUUUCAAAAUAAAAAUAAGCUUUGUAAUCCA